rnacentral:rRNA from 1 species
UAGGGAAUCUUCGGCAAUGGACGGAAGUCUGACCGAGCAACGCCGCGUGAGUGAAGAAGGUCUUCGGAUCGUAAAGCUCUGUUGUUAGAGAAGAACGUUGGUAGGAGUGGAAAAUCUACCAAGUGACGGUAACUAACCAGAAAGGGACGGCUAACUACGUGCUAGCAGCCGUCGUAAUACGUAGGUGCCGAGCGUUGUCCGGAUUUAUUGGGCGUAAAGCGAGCGCAGGCGGUUCUUUAUGUCUGAAGUUAAAGGCAGUGGCUUAACCAUUGUACGCUUUGGAAACUGGAGGACUUGAGUGCAGAAGGGGAGAGUGGAAUUCCAUGUGUAGCGGUGAAAUGCGUAGAUAUAUGGAGGAACACCGGUGGCGAAAGCGGCUCUCUGGUCUGUAACUGACGCUGAGGCUCGAAAGCGUGGGGAGCAAACAGG